ACCAAGGAAAAUUUAUUUUUUAUGCCAUCAUAUAUUCACACAAACAUUAUUUGAAAUCAAUUAAAACAAAAUUAUUCCAUUUCCAAGUGAUUACGUUCUAUCUUAUAAUGGAUCCCUAAUCUCACAAUACAAGAGCUUCCAUAAUCACCACGGUUGGGAAGGCACACUCCUGCGGACAUAAAACGUAAAUUGUGGGCAGCAGGCCAGACAACGGACCUUCUUGUAUUGCCUGCAGGUUAAAUGUAUUGGUCUUUGGGGUGAGUAAUUCACAGAAUAACUCUAUUUUCAAACGUUCCGGGUUUCUAUCUAUUUGCCUAGGAAAGACUCAUAAUUUAUAUGCAGCAACACGCUUUGCAUGCGUUCAUCUCCACUCGGGAGAUUACUGCGGCACUUAAAUGGCACAUCAAUGCUGCCGGUUGUUUCUCACUUGCCGAUGUUGGACUUACAGAAGUAUCAAAUUUAGAAAACUAUUGUUCGCUUUAGCCGGUGUAGGACAUACCCAGAGGAGAAAAUCUCAAGCCGCUUUUCCGACGGCUUUAUUCCGGCAGUGAAGGCUUCAAAUAUUCUUGCCCUUUCUCCGCUUUUGGAUUGGUAGGGUUGUAUAUCAUACCGGCAUAUUUUAAAAAUUCAGAAAACAUAUCUUUGCCACAUGCGGCACCACUGUAAUAAUAUAUAAUACUGUAUAUAUCCGUAAAAAAAACAUUUUCCAUGAGCGUAUAAUAUAUAUACACAAAUAUUAUUACAUGU